CAUAAACAAAGUCUUUUGGAUUGUGCAUAAUUGGCACUGCCACUACCUCUGGUCUUCUUAGGUACAUCCGAUUGCUUACAACUGCACAUCUUUGCCCAUACUGGCUUUUUUUCAUGGAACCAUAUUUCCUCACCUCCACCCCCACUCAACAGUGACUAUUUGAAAUAAGAGGAAAUGCUUCUGUGGUUUUUUGGCUGGAGUCACUGUUGCCCCACUGAGCAUCACAGGAGGCAGCAGGGCCAUGGCUGUGCCCAGGGAAGAUCUCUGCUGCAGAGCUUCUCUCUGCAAACUGACCCCAAGGAGGCUGUUCUUCCAUCAAAGUGCAAAGAGUUGAAGCAGCAGGUGUAGUAUCAAGGAUGACAAGUCUUUACCACCUUCAUCUCUGAGAAAAGCAGCAGCAUAAUGAAGAUAAAUAGGAAUUUUACAGACAGGCUUUAAGUGGAAGCAAUGCCACAGCAGUGCUCAGCCACAGUGCUCCUCAUCAGCUUACUUCUCAAGCACAUGGAAAUCCAGUCAACAGCUCUGAGGGGAGCAGUUCCAUCACUGAGACCCCAGGGAUGCUGCAGGUGGAGGGGACAGAGUGCAGAGCACCAGUCUGAUGUACGAUGUACACGCUCGUGUGCAGCCUCAAGAAGCCCAUGCUCAGCUGAGCAAAUGACUUCACAGCACAGCUGUCAGCCAGGAACUAAAGAUUCAUGUUUGGGCCAGAAAAAAAAAAAGCUUGUCCAUGACUUUUGUGACAAUCCCAAUGCACUUUACACCAGCUGGGCUUCUGGAAUUUGUUUUUUGGACAUUGUGUUUUUCUCAAUUCGUUUUCUAAAAGAAGGAUGUUACACAGAACAAGGAUGCCUUUCUUGUGUGGGUAUUGACAUACUUGAUGAUGGCCUUCAGAUCUCAAUCCCUGUCUCAAGCCUGAACAAUGGCACAGCCCUGUGUGGCUCAAAAGUUGAGCAAUA
rnacentral:lncRNA from 1 species